AUUGAACGCUGGCGGCAUGCUUUACACAUGCAAGUCGAACGGCAGCGCGGGCUUCGGCCUGGCGGCGAGUGGCGAACGGGUGAGUAAUGCAUCGGAACGUGCCCAGUAGUGGGGGAUAGCCCGGCGAAAGCCGGAUUAAUACCGCAUACGACCUGAGGGUGAAAGCGGGGGACCGAAAGGCCUCGCGCUAUUGGAGCGGCCGAUGUCGGAUUAGCUAGUUGGUGGGGUAAAGGCUUACCAAGGCGACGAUCCGUAGCUGGUCUGAGAGGACGACCAGCCACACUGGGACUGAGACACGGCCCAGACUCCUACGGGAGGCAGCAGUGGGGAAUUUUGGACAAUGGGGGCAACCCUGAGCCAGCCAUGCCGCGUGCGGGAAGAAGGCCUUCGGGUUGUAAACCGCUUUUGUUCGGGAAGAAAUCCUCUGGGCUAAUACCCCGGGGGGAUGACGGUACCGGAAGAAUAAGCACCGGCUAACUACGU
rnacentral:rRNA from 1 species